AUACCACCAUGUGAGCUCCAUCCUUAAAUGUAAAGGAGAGUCAACAUAGAACCCCAGUGCUGCACCUGAAGUCCAUCUAAGGUCCACAGGCCUGCCCCCCUCCCCAGGCUGCUACACCAGAGAGUGCUGGAGGGGGUCACAUGCUUGUUUUGUGGUCUUGUUUUUGUUUUUAAAGACAGUCUUGGGCUGGUGAGAUGGCUCAGAGGUUAUGAGCCCUAGUUGCUCUUCCAGAGGUCCUGAGUUCAGUUCCCAGCAACCACCUGGUGGCUCACAACUAUCUAUAAGGGGAUCUGAUGCCUUCUUCUGGCCUAUGGAAGUAUAUGCAGCAGAGCAUUCACACAAUAAAUAAAUUU
rnacentral:lncRNA from 1 species